rnacentral:rRNA from 1 species
AAUCAACGCUGGCGGCGCGCUUAACACAUGCAAGUCGCACGAGAAAGGGAGCAAUCCUGAGUAAAGUGGCGUACGGGUGAGUAACACGUGGGAAUCUACCUCUUGGCGGGGAAUAACCCUGGGAAACCGGGGCUAAUACCGCAUAAGCUCGUGAGAGGAAAGCAGCAAUGCACCGAGAGAGGAGCCCGCGGCCGAUUAGCUAGUUGGCGGGGUAAUGGCUCACCAAGGCGAAGAUCGGUAGCCGGCCUGAGAGGGCACACGGCCACACUGGCACUGAAACACGGGCCAGACUCCUACGGGAGGCAGCAGUGGGGAAUCUUGCACAAUGGGGGAAACCCUGAUGCAGCGACGCCGCGUGAGCGAUGAAGCCCUUCGGGGUGUAAAGCUCUUUCGACAGGAACGAUAAUGACGGUACCUGGAGAAGAAGCUGCGGCUAACUACGUG